rnacentral:rRNA from 1 species
UACGGAGGGGGCGAGCGUUAUUCGGAAUUAUUGGGCGUAAAGGGCGCGUAGGCGGCUGAACAAGUCAAAGGUGAAAUCCCUCGGCUCAACUGAGGAACUGCCUUUGAAACUGUUCGGCUUGAGGCCGGGAGGGGGUAGCGGAAUUCCCAGUGUAGCGGUGAAAUGCGUAGAUAUUGGGAGGAACACCAGUGGCGAAGGCGGCUACCUGGACCGGUUCUGACGCUGAGGCGCGAAAGCGUGGGUAGCUAACAGG